rnacentral:misc_RNA from 1 species
AGCAGCCGCGGUAAUUCCAGCUCCAAUAGCGUAUAUUAAAGUUGUUGCAGUUAAAAGCUCGUAGUUGAAUUUCGGGGUUAGUAGGUUGGUCAUGCCUCUGGUAUGUACUGGUCUCACUGAUUCCUCCUUCCUGAUGAACCUUAAUGCCAUUAAUUUGGUGUUUUGGGGAAUUUGGACUGUUACUUUGAAAAAUUAGAGUGUUUAAAGCAAGCUAACGCUUGAAUACAUUAGCAUGGAAUAAUGAAAUAGGACGUUCGAUCCUAUUUUGUUGGUUUCUAGGAUUGACGUAAUGAUUAAUAGGGAUAGUUGGGGGCAUUAGUAUUCAAUUGUCAGAGGUGAAAUUCUUGGAUUUAUUGAAGACUAACUACUGCGAAAGCAUUUGCCAAGGAUGUUUUCAUUAAUCAAGAACGAAAGUUAGGGAUCGAAGACGAUCAGAUACCGUCGUAGUCUUAACCAUAAACUAUGCCGACUAGGGAUCGGAUGAUGUUAAUUUUUUAAUGUACUCAUUCGGCGCCUUACG